GAGCGAUUAAUUGCGAAGGAGUCAGAGCAUCCCGACUUCAGUCGGGAGGGUCACUAGUUCGAAUCUAGUAUCGCCCACGA
rnacentral:tRNA from 1 species